UACGGGGGGGGGCAAGCGUUGUUCGGAAUUACUGGGCGUAAAGGGCGCGUAGGCGGUUUGCUAAGUUGAAUGUGAAAACUCUGGGCUUAACCCAGAGCCUGCAUUCAAUACUGGCAGGCUAGAGUUCUGGAGGGGAUAGCGGAAUUCCUGGUGUAGCGGUGAAAUGCGUAGAUAUCAGGAGGAACAGCCGGUGGCGAAGGCGGCUAUCUGGACAGAGUCUGACGCUGAGGCGCGAAAGCUAGGGGAGCAAACAGG
rnacentral:rRNA from 1 species